UCAGGGUUCGUCCAACGGUAGGACACGGGACUUUGGAUCCCGGUAUGCUGGUUCGAAUCCAGCACCCUGAGCCA
rnacentral:tRNA from 1 species